rnacentral:rRNA from 1 species
GGAUGAGAAUCUUCGGCAAUGAGCGCAAGCUUGACCGAGCGACGCCGCGUGGGAUGAAGGCCUUCGGGUUGUAAACCACUGUCGUAGGGGACGAAAUUCUAGUGGGUACUCUCACUAGAUUGACUGAUCCUAGGAGGAAGGGUGGGCUAAGUUCGUGCCAGCAGCCGCGGUAAGACGUACCACCCAAACGUUAUUCGGAUUCACUGGGCUUACAGAGUCCGUAGGCGGCCAAGAAAGUUAGGCGUGAAGU